rnacentral:rRNA from 1 species
AACGAACGCUGGCGGCAGGCCUAACACAUGCAAGUCGAACGCUCCGCAAGGGGAGUGGCAGACGGGUGAGUAACACGUGGGAACCUACCUCGAGGUGCGGAACAACCAAGGGAAACUUUGGCUAAUACCGCAUGUGCCCUUAGGGGGAAAGAUUUAUCGCCUUGGGAUGGGCCCGCGUCGGAUUAGCUAGUUGGUGUGGUAAUGGCGCACCAAGGCGACGAUCCGUAGCUGGUCUGAGAGGAUGAUCAGGCACACUGGGACUGAGACACGGCCCAGACUCCUACGGGAGGCAGCAGUGGGGAAUAUUGGACAAUGGGCGCAAGCCUGAUCCAGCCAUGCCGCGUGUGUGAUGAAGGCCUUAGGGUUGUAAAGCACUUUCGCCGAUGAAGAUAAUGACUGUAGUCGGAGAAGAAGCCCCGGCUAACUUCGUGCCAGCCGCCGCCGUAAGAC